GCCGGAGUGGCGGAACUGGCAGACGCAAGGGACUUAAAAUCCCUCCCUCCGUAAGGAGGCUCCCGGUUCGAUCCCGGGCUCCGGCACCA
rnacentral:tRNA from 2 species